rnacentral:rRNA from 1 species
CCUACGGGAGGCUGCAGUGGGGAAUAUUGGACAAUGGGGGCAACCCUGAUCCAGCCAUGCCGCGUGUGUGAAGAAGGCCCUCGGGUUGUAAAGCACUUUCAGUGAGGAAGAACGCCUGGUGGUUAAUACCCAUCAGGAAAGACAUCACUCACAGAAGAAGCACCGGCUAACUCCGUGCCAGCAGCCGCGGUAAUACGGAGGGUGCGAGCGUUAAUCGGAAUUACUGGGCGUAAAGCGCGCGUAGGUGGCUUGAUAAGCCGGUUGUGAAAGCCCCGGGAUCAACCUGGGAACGGCAUCCGGAACUGUCAAGCUAGAGUGCAGGAGAGGAAGGUAGAAUUCCCGGUGUAGCGGUGAAAUGCGUAGAGAUCGGGAGGAAUACCAGUGGCGAAGGCGGCCUUCUGGACUGACACUGACACUGAGGUGCGAAAGCGUGGGUAGCAAACAGGAUUAGAUACCCGGGUAGUC